AGCUUUGCGCAGUGGCAGUAUCGUAGCCAAUGAGGUUUAUCCGAGGCAUGAUUAUUGCUAAUUGAAUGUAAUUAAACCAUUGCCAAUAUAUAUAUUUUUAAACAGAUCAUUAUUUUCAAUAUUAUGUUAUUAUU